AAUUGAAUCCCAAAAUUCAGAAACUCUAUCCCUAUCAAUUUUCUUGCACGAUUCUCUUCCAUCUCCUCUUCCCCUCAGAGCAGCUCUUCUUCUUUAUCUUCUUCUUCUCUUUCUCUUUCUCCUUCUCCUUCAUUGUAGCUCCUCGUCCUCCUCCUCUCCUAUUUUUCUUCUUCACAGCUUCUUCUUCAAAACUCCACCCUCCAUGAACUUGAUUUGAGGUUUAUCAUUUUAUUGUUUGUUUUUGAGUACUCGAAAUGUCUUGAUGACCAAAUCAAGAGAUUGAGAGGGCUCAUUACACGCCCACCAUACCAGAAGUGAUGCUAUCGAAUUUCCUUUUCCUGAGAUGCUAUCCAUGUUCUGUUGGUGUUCUCUCACAUUGUAGAUUUGUUGUAAUGUGGUUGUUUGAUUAGAUUUUGUUGUAUUUACUGAAAUGUGCAGACCAGCUUGAGUUAAUUCUAGCAAUUACAUAGACCGACGACCUUAUAUGUUUAGUCAAAUGAAAAAAAAUACUUAUUUUGUCAGAAAAUGAAAAAAAUAGUUAGAGUUGUAAUAUAUGUGUUUUAGUGGAGAACUUUGAGCCCAGCUGGGCAGUUUUGGUGGGGA